GGGGCCCCAGGAUGGGAUGGUGGGGAGAUAAGAACCAUGAGAGAAGUUGGCACAAAGGAGUUAUGGGACAAAGGGUCCAAGAUAGGCAGAAAAGAAAAUGUUGCCAGUUGAUGGGGAAGAAAGGAAGUCAGAGGGUCCAAGAUAGGCAGAAAAGAAAAUGUUGCCAGUUGAUGGGGAAGAAAGGAAGUCAGAGGGCUCAGACACUGUGGGGGACAGAACAUCUCCAUGUGCA
rnacentral:lncRNA from 1 species